rnacentral:rRNA from 1 species
CACGCCAUGGAAGCUGUGAGCGCCCGAAGUCCGUGUCGCAACCUGGGCAACCAGGGCAAGCGGCCGAAGGCGAGCGCAGUGACUGGGGCG